UGAGGAAUAUUGGUCAAUGGACGAGAGUCUGAACCAGCCAAGUAGCGUGCAGGAUGACGGCCCUAUGGGUUGUAAACUGCUUUUGUUUGGGAAUAAUCGACAUUACGUGUAAUGUUUUGCAUGUACCAUUCGAAUAAGGACCGGCUAAUUCCGUGCCAGCAGCCGCGGUAAUACGGAAGGUCCAGGCGUUAUACGGAUAUAUUGGGUUUAAAGGGAGUGUAGGCGGUUGGUUAAGCGUGUUGUGAAAUGUAGAUGCUCAACAUCUGAAUUGCAGCGCGAACUGGCUGACUUGAGGACACACAAAGUAGGCGGAAUUCAUGGUGUAGCGAUGAAAUGCUUAGAUAUCAUGAAGAACUCCGAUUGCGAAGGCAGCUUACGGGAGUGUUACUGACGCUUAAGCUCGAAGGUGCGGGUAUCGAACAGG
rnacentral:rRNA from 1 species